UACGUAGGUGGCAAGCGUUGUCCGGAAUUAUUGGGCGUAAAGCGCGCGCAGGCGGUCCUUUAAGUCUGAUGUGAAAGCCCACGGCUCAACCGUGGAGGGUCAUUGGAAACUGGGGGACUUGAGUGCAGGAGAGAAGAGUGGAAUUCCACGUGUAGCGGUGAAAUGCGUAGAGAUGUGGAGGAACACCAGUGGCGAAGGCGGCUCACUGGACCGGAACUGACGCUGAGGCGCGAAAGCGUGGGGAGCAAACAGG
rnacentral:rRNA from 1 species